AACAAAAACAUGUCCUUUAGAGAAGAGUUUAAGGUCUAACCUGCCCAUUGAAUUGAGUUAAAAGGCCGCAGUAUUUUGACUGUGCAAAGGUAGCAUAAUCAUUAGUUUUUUAAUUGAAAGCUUGUAUGAAUGGUUGGACGAGAUAUAAUCUGUCUUUAAAUUAUUAUUAGAAUUUAUUUUUUAAGUUAAAAAUCUUAAAUGAAAUUAAUAGACGAGAAGACCCUAUAGAUUUUUAUAAAUUGAUUAAUUUAAUUUUUAAGGAUUAUAAAGUUUUUGUAUUGAUUUAUUUAUUUGAUUGGGGUAAUAGAAAGAUUAAAAUAAUUCUUUUUUAUUUUACAUAGAUUAGUGAUUUUUUUGAUCCAGUAAUAUUGAUUAAAAGAUUAAAUUACCUUAGGGAUAACAGCGUAAUUUUUUUGGAGAGUUCUUAUCAAUAAAAGAGUUUGCGACCUCGAUGUUG
rnacentral:rRNA from 1 species